rnacentral:rRNA from 1 species
AUUGAACGCUGGCGGCAUGCCUUACACAUGCAAGUCGAACGGUAACGGGCCUUCGGGUGCCGACGAGUGGCGAACGGGUGAGUAAUGCAUCGGAACGUACCUUUCAGUGGGGGAUAACGUAGCGAAAGUUACGCUAAUACCGCAUAUUCUGUGAGCAGGAAAGCAGGGGAUCGCAAGACCUUGCGCUGAUUGAGCGGCCGAUGUCAGAUUAGCUAGUUGGUGAGGUAAAGGCUCACCAAGGCGACGAUCUGUAGCGGGUCUGAGAGGAUGAUCCGCCACACUGGAACUGAGACACGGUCCAGACUCCUACGGGAGGCAGCAGUGGGGAAUUUUGGACAAUGGGGGCAACCCUGAUCCAGCCAUGCCGCGUGAGUGAAGAAGGCCUCGGUUGGUUAAAGACGUCUUUCGGUCCCGGGAAGGAAAGUACGUAAUGGGCGUAAUACCCUACGUGUCGGAGUGACGGUACCGG